GACGAACGCUGGCGGCGUGCUUAACACAUGCAAGUCGAACGAUGAUGCUCCAGCUUGCUGGGGUGGAUUAGUGGCGAACGGGUGAGUAACACGUGAGUAACCUGCCCCCUUCUUCGGGAUAAGCUUGGGAAGCUGGGUCUAAUACUGGAUAUUCUGCAAUUGUCGCAUGGUGGUUGUGGGAAAGAUUUUUUGGUGGGGGAUGGGCUCGCGGCCUAUCAGCUUGUUGGUGGGGUGAUGGCCUACCAAGGCGUCGACGGGUAGCCGGCCUGAGAGGGUGACCGGCCACACUGGGACUGAGAUACGGCCCAGACUCCUACGGGAGGCAGCAGUGGGGAAUAUUGCACAAUGGGCGCAAGCUUGAUGCAGCGACGCCGCGUGAGGGAUGACGGCUUUCGGGUUGUAAACCUCUUUCGAUGGGGAACAAGGCCAUAUUUUUGUGUGGUUGAGGGUACCUGUAUAAGAAGCGCCGGCUAACUACGUG
rnacentral:rRNA from 1 species